ensembl:lncRNA
CACUACUGCCUGCUUGUUACUGUCCAGUUUGUGCCAGUCCUCACCAGUCACUGAGGCUGCCAUCAGUUGCAGCUGUGUGAGACAGUUUAAAUUACCAUCUGGUUUCUACAGGUCUAGACGGAAUCAUCCAUGAAGUUGCAGUUCUUCACAGUAAAUUUUUUCCUAUGUAUUUCAUUUAUAUUGAACUACUUGAAAUAUCUUCUCUUUUAACCUUAAGUAGUUUAAGAUUAGGUGAUGAUGGUGUCCUGUGAAAAGCCACUUGGGUCAGGUUGCUUUGUGUCAGUGCAAACAGACAGUUUUUGCACUUGUAUUUAGCAGUGUGGAAAAGAACAGCUGUGUAGCCAUGGGAUUUACCUACAUGCUGCUAAAAGACCAUCUAGAUGCUCUGACAUCAGAAUGUUUUUCUGAACAUCUGUCUGUCACAAAGGCAGAUAUUAAAAUAAGUGUAGAUAUUAUGUCCAAGUAGAGCUAUGUGAUUAUAUUAAUUCAAGGUUCUUUGGCUUUCAACAUCACAUUUCCCAUUAUAUAAAAAUUGAGCCCUGUGUCCAUACAUGCUUCUUACACUGUCUUCCUUGUGUUUCCUCAGAGAAUGAUUCUUCAUGCCUACAGAGCAUGCAUGCUGCUUUUAGAAAUACUGGUCAAACACAGCUAUAACUUUCCUCACUGCGUCAGAGUGUUUUCCCCAACCCAGUGCAGAUAAGAUGAACUUUACCAGUCUCCAUCACUGUUCUGUCGCAAGAAGUUUCCCAAUUACAUCCAGAAAUUCUCUAGCCUUCAGAUCCCUUCUCCAGAGCUCCCUUCCCUCAUCCCUUGUUUCAUCCACGCUGCCCUAAAUGUGACCACACCACCUAACUUGGAGUCUGAAAUGUAAGAAGUUGCAAAAACAGGCUCUUCCCAGCAGGUGCUGUGGCUGGGUUGUCUUUUCUUCUAGGAACGGGAUUGACCAGCUCCCUGCAGAAGUAGAGGUUCAGUCUUUGAUCGUAUGCUGCCCUUGACUACAGAAUUUAGAAGAACCAAAAACUGUAUGCUCCUAGAGAUGUCCUUCAGUCAUAAAAUGAAGGUCUGGACCAACUGCCUGUUCCGUGGCAUUCUUGGAAGACAAGCUCUACCAGUGGCGUUUCCUGUAAUGUACCACAGCUGCCGUCAGCUGAUGCUCAGCCCAUGUGUCAGCUGGUUGCACUCCUCACCCUCGCUGAGAGCUUUUGUGACAAGUGAAGGGAGCUGCCUGUUCAGUGGGGUCACUGCUCUCUUUGUAGGAGAAGUGGAAUUUUCCUGCGUGUAUUCAGUUCCAAUACUGUAUACUGAAUACAGUAAUAUUCUUAGUGAGCAGUGCUUGUUGCCUACAUAAAGGCGUUUUGUUAAUCUUGUGACUGUUAUGUGAUUACAGUUAAUUAGUUACCUGUAGCAUGCUAUGAAAAUGUAUAGGAUUAAUUUUGUUUGGUACAACUGAGUGUGAUUGAAGGUUGUACUUCAGCUGUGUGCUUGGUUCUGCCCUAAUUAAAAUUCUCAUGCGAAUGAAAACAGUGUCUUACACAGACACUGAUAUUUCUGAUAUCAUAGUUUCAGCCUAAUUGCUUAUUAUGGUGUUUAAAUGAUGGGUCUUGUUGAUUUAACAUGUUUUCCCUAAAGUGCAAUGGAAUAUUUAUUUGCAUUUGA